UUGACCUCAAAUCGGGUGAGACUACCCGCUGAACUUAAGCAUAUCAAUAAGCGGAGGAAAAGAAACUAACAAGGAUUCCCCUAGUAACUGCGAGUGAAGCGGGAAAAGCUCAAAUUUAAAAUCUGGCAGUCUUUGGCCGUCCGAGUUGUAAUUUAGAGAAGCGUCUUCCGCGCUGGACCGUGCACAAGUCUCCUGGAAUGGAGCGUCAUAGAGGGUGAGAAUCCCGUCUUUGGCACGGAUGCCUGGUGCUUCUGUGAUGCGCUCUCGAAGAGUCGAGUUGUUUGGGAAUGCAGCUCAAAAUGGGUGGUGAACUCCAUCUAAAGCUAAAUAUUGGCGAGAGACCGAUAGCGAACAAGUACCGUGAGGGAAAGAUGAAAAGCACUUUGGAAAGAGAGUGAAACAGUACGUGAAAUUGUUGAAAGGGAAACGCUUGAAGUCAGUCGCGUCGACCGAGACUCAGCCUUGCCUUGGCUUGGUGUACUUCUCGGCCCGACGGGUCAGCAUCAAUUUUGCCCCUCGGAUAAUGGCAGGGGAAAGGUGGCACCUUUACGGGUGUGUUAUAGUCUCCCGUCGAAUGCGAGGGGUGGGAUUGAGGAACUCAGCGCGCACCUCAGUGUCGGGGCUUCGGCCCACGUCACGCGCUUAGGAUGCUGGCGUAAUGGCUUUAAACGACCCGUC
rnacentral:rRNA from 1 species